rnacentral:siRNA from 1 species
GUAGGCGUGCCGGAGUGGUUAUC